AUUGAAGGAUAACAUGUUCAUAUGCUGCACAUCUCUGUAAACAAUGUCCUUGUAGUCAUCAGUAAUUUUUUCUUUUAUUACUUUCUACCUCGUACAUUUUCAAAACGAACUCGUUACUUUUGGUUUAGCCUGUGUGCAUAUUGUUGCACAGUUGCUGCUAGCUAAAGAUCCAGCUGCUGUAUUUCACAGGGAGAGAAAAGAAAGAGCUAACUUCACUCAGAGAUGGAGAAAGACACGAAAGACAGGACACUACAGGAAGAAGAGAAGUUAUAUUUAAAGAGACGAUGGAGACCUCCCAGGAUGGGAAAGAAAGAAGCUUCAAAUUCAGGUCCUGCAUUGACGCCGAUCACACCAGGACAUUUGAUCUGAAGUCGCAGCCACAACCUCUGACUUCCUCACAGCGCUUCUUUUUCACACACGAAGGGAAAUGUCAAAUGUUUGCAUUUUCAGAGGGAGCUGGGUGUUAUUUUUCUUGGCAGGCUUGAGCUCAGCAGCUGGAGACUUGCAGUCAGGUCAGAGAGGCUGACAAGGUUGCUACACCACCCCCUGAGCUUUUUUUUUUCCUUCUUCUCCUUCUUAAAUGGGGUGGCAAAGGAGAAAAUGGGAGCCUAUCAGGAGAAUCUUUGGUUUUGUAAAUUCACAAGUAUCAAUUAUAAAUUGAGAGGUGGGUCCACAACUGUAAGAAUAUGGCUAAUACACCGAAGCACACAAUUCAGUGUCAUCUCUGCUUACCUUUAUUCUAAACACAGCUCAUGCUUCUGCUUUCAGCUACAUUAGUGAUCAGUGGGGGUUAGUUUAGUUGAUUGCUUUUUAUUUUUACCAGAAAAGGCCCAUUGAGAUCAGUCUUUUUUUUUUUUUUCAUAAAAACAAAAGACCCAGCAAAAGUUGCAAUCUGUCUUCUCUUUUGUUUAGAACAUUCUUUAACUCAGUAAAAUUUUUCCAAAUUUUAUAAACUCUGUUUAACGAAUUCAGAGGUCCAGAUGCCCUUACAUUCAUUAAACAGUGCAACCAUGGGUACUAAAUUAUGGGUAUGGACAAGUGCCAUGCAUGUUUUGUUUCUGUACAUGUUAAAAUAAAUGGCCUGCUUACAUUUUUUUUAAUUUAAAAUGGUAUAAGCUGAAAGUAUUCCUUCUCUUUGUAAUUUCACUGUCUGAAAUAAAAUGUGCGUUGACUCAUACUCUCCUGGAAGAAAUAAACGUGGUGUCCGAUUAGUAUUAAUGUGAUUAUAGGACUGAUUCUGCCAACAGUUAAACACUUUUCUGUUGUUAACCUGUCUUGGGGUGCACUACAAAAGUAAAAGCAACAUGCUGUAUUCUGUAUGUAUUUCAGACUGUAUAGUUGGUCAAGCAGUUGAUAAUCUAACCAUUCGAGGCCCUCUGUACAAACACACUCGUAAGUACAGUGUUUGGACAACCCAUCUGUCUCUUCUUCAUUGGUGGAGUCCUUUCCAAGUAAACUCUUUGACUCAGUUGCUAGGAAACUUCUACUCUGUCUCUGCCCUCCUGACUGCGAGCAGCCGGCUCGCUCCUCCUCGUGAUGUAAGGACGCUGUAACAGAAACACAUGUCAUACU
ensembl:lncRNA